rnacentral:rRNA from 1 species
ACACCGGCAGCUCAAGUGGUGGCCGUUUUUAUUGGGCCUAAAGCGUUCGUAGCCGGCUUUAUAAGUCUCUGGUGAAAUCCCGCAGCUUAACUGUGGGAAUUGCUGGAGAUACUAUCAGGCUUGAGGUCGGGAGAGGUUAGAGGUACUCCCAGGGUAGGGGUGAAAUCCUAUAAUCCUGGGAGGACCACCUGUGGCGAAGGCGUCUAACUGGAACGAACCUGACGGUGGGUAACGAAAGCCAGGGGCGCGAACCGGAUUAGAUACCCGGGUAGUCCUGGCCGUAAACGAUGUGGACUUGGUGUUGGGAUGGCCUCGAGCUGCCCCAGUGCCGAAGGGAAGCUGUUAAGUCCACCGCCUGGGAAGUACGGUCGCAAGACUGAA